AGAGUUUGAUCAUGGCUCAGAAUCAACGCUGGCGGCGCGCUUAACACAUGCAAGUCGAACGAGAAAGCCCAGCAAUGGGUGAGUAAAGUGGCGUACGGGUGAGUAACACGUGGGUAAUCUACUCUUUGGUGGGGAAUAACCCUGGGAAACCGGGGCUAAUACCGCAUAAGCUCGAAAGAGGAAAGGUGAAAAUCGCCGAAGAAGGAGCCCGCGGCUGAUUAGCUAGUUGGUGAGGUAAAGGCUCACCAAGGCGAAGAUCGGUAGCCGGCCUGAGAGGGCGGUCGGCCACACUGGCACUGACACACGGGCCAGACUCCUACGGGAGGCAGCAGUCGGGAAUUUUGGGCAAUGGGCGAAAGCCUGACCCAGCAACGCCGCGUGAAGGAUGAAGCUUUUCGGAGUGUAAACUUCAUAAGAAUGGGACGAAUAAGGAAGGGCUAAUACCCCUUUUGAUGACGGUACCAUUUGUAAGCUCCGGCUAACUCCGUGCCAGCAGCCGCGGUAAUACGGGGGGAGCAAGCGUUGUUCGGAUUUACUGGGCGUAAAGGGCGCGUAGGCGGCGCAACAAGUCACUUGUGAAAUCUCCGGGCUUAACCCGGAGCGGCCAAGUGAUACUGUCGUGCUAGAGUGCGGAAGGGGCUACUGGAAUUCUCGGUGUAGCGGUGAAAUGCGUAGAUAUCGAGAGGAACACCUGCGGCGAAGGCGGGUAGCUGGGCCGACACUGACGCUGAGGCGCGAAAGCCAGGGGAGCGAACGGGAUUAGAUACCCCCGUAGUCC
rnacentral:rRNA from 1 species